UGGGGAAUUUUGGACAAUGGGCGAAAGCCUGAUCCAGCAAUGCCGCGUGUGUGAAGAAGGCCUUCGGGUUGUAAAGCACUUUUGUCCGGAAAGAAAUCCUUGGCUCUAAUACAGUCGGGGGAUGACGGUACCGGAAGAAUAAGCACCGGCUAACUACGUGCCAGCAGCCGCGGUAAUACGUAGGGUGCAAGCGUUAAUCGGAAUUACUGGGCGUAAAGCGUGCGCAGGCGGUUUGCUAAGACCGAUGUGAAAUCCCCGGGCUCAACCUGGGAACUGCAUUGGUGACUGGCAGGCUAGAGUAUGGCAGAGGGGGGUAGAAUUCCACGUGUAGCAGUGAAAUGCGUAGAGAUGUGGAGGAAUACCGAUGGCGAAGGCAGCCCCCUGGCCAAGUACUGACGCUCAUGCACGAAAAGCGUGGGGGAGCAAAACAGGAUUAGAUACCCCUGGUAGUCCACGCCCCUAAACGAUGUCAACUAGUUGUUGGGGAUUCAUUUCCUUAGUAACGUAGCUAACGCGUGAAGUUGACCGCCU
rnacentral:rRNA from 1 species